AUGUUGGCUUUAGUUUAUGCUGGGCAGGUUGAACGAGAUCCCACACCAUUGUAUCAUGCCGCAAAAGAAUUGAUGAAUAUGCAACUAGACACAGGGGAGUUUCCCCAGCAAGAACAUGUUGGAUGCUUCAAUUGCUCCGUGUACUUCAAUUAUGGCAACUACUGCAACUUAUAUCCCAUCUGGGCUAUUGGAGAGUUUCGUCGUUGA
rnacentral:rRNA from 1 species